rnacentral:rRNA from 1 species
AGUGAACGCUGGCGGUAGGCCUAACACAUGCAAGUCGAACGGCAGCACAGUAAGAGCUUGCUCUUACGGGUGGCGAGUGGCGGACGGGUGAGGAAUACAUCGGAAUCUACUUUUUCGUGGGGGAUAACGUAGGGAAACUUACGCUAAUACCGCAUACGACCUACGGGUGAAAGCAGGGGAUCUUCGGACCUUGCGCGAUUGAAUGAGCCGAUGUCGGAUUAGCUAGUUGGCGGGGUAAAGGCCCACCGAGGCGACGAUCCGUAGCUGGUCUGAGAGGGUGAUCAGCCACACUGGAGCUGAGACACGGUCCAGGCUCCUACGGGAGGCAGCAGUGGGGAAUAUUGGAAGAUGGGCGCAGGCCUGAUCCAGCCAUACAGCGUGGGUGAAGAAGGCCUGCGGGUUGUAAAGCCCUUUUGUUGGGAAAGAAAAGCAGCAGGUGAAUACCACGCUGUUCGGACGGAACCCAAAGAAUAAGCACCGGCAAACUUCGU